rnacentral:tRNA from 1 species
GGAAGCGUGCCUGAAACCAAAGGGCCACUUUGAUAGAGUGGAUCAUAGAGGUUAAAGCCCUCUCGCUUCCU